UACGGAGGGUGCGAGCGUUGUCCGGAAUCACUGGGCGUAAAGGGCGCGUAGGCGGCUUCUCAAGCGUGUGGUGAAAGUCCGGGGCUCAACCCCGGAUCGGCCGUGCGGACUGGGGAGCUCGAGUUCUGUAGAGGCGGGUGGAAUUCCGGGUGUAGCGGUGGAAUGCGUAGAGAUCCGGAGGAACACCGGUGGUGUAAACGGCUUUCUGGACCAUAACUGACGCUGAGGCACGAAAGCGUGGGUAGCAAACAGG
rnacentral:rRNA from 1 species